GUGGGGGAUAUUGCACAAUGGGGGAAACCCUGAUGCAGCGACGCCGCGUGGAGGAAGAAGGUUUUCGGAUUGUAAACUCCUGUCGUAAGGGACGAUAAUGACGGUACCUUACAAGAAAGCCACGGCUAACUACGUGCCAGCAGCCGCGGUAAAACGUAGGUGGCAAGCGUUGUCCGGAAUUACUGGGUGUAAAGGGAGCGUAGACGGAGAGGCAAGUCUGAUGUGAAAACCCGGGGCUCAACCCCGGGAGUGCAUUGGAAACUGUUUAUCUAGAGUGCCGGAGGGGUAAGUGGAAUUCCUAGUGUAGCGGUGAAAUGCGUAGAUAUUAGGAGGAACACCAGUGGCGAAGGCGGCUUACUGGACGGUAACUGACGUUGAGGCUCGAAAGCGUGGGGAGCAAACAGGAUUAGAUACCCUAGUAGUCC
rnacentral:rRNA from 1 species